rnacentral:rRNA from 1 species
UCGGGAAUUUUGGGCAAUGGGCGAAAGCCUGACCCAGCAACGCCGCGUGAAGGAUGAAGUAUUUCGGUAUGUAAACUUCGAAAGAAUAGGAAGAAUAAAUGACGGUACUAUUUAUAAGGUCCGGCUAACUACGUGCCAGCAGCCGCGGUAAUACGUAGGGACCAAGCGUUGUUCGGAUUUACUGGGCGUAAAGGGCGCGUAGGCGGCGUGGUAAGUCAUCUGUGAAAUCUCCGAGCUUAACUCGGAACGGUCAGAUGAUACUGCUGUGCUAGAGUACAGAAAGGGCAAUCGGAAUUCUUGGUGUAGCGGUGAAAUGCGUAGAUAUCAAGAGGAACACCUGAGGCGAAGGCGGGUUGCUAGGCUGAUACUGACGCUGAGGCGCGAAAGCUAGGGUAGCAAACGGGAUUAGAUACCCCCGUAGUCCCUGAGCGGGCUGGCAAGGCGCAU